rnacentral:misc_RNA from 1 species
CAGAGUUGCAAAACUCCCAAACCACUGUAAACCUUACCUAACUUGUUGCUUCGGCGGGGGCUCUCUCAUGGGAAGCCAUUGCAGCCCGCCAGAAGUCCACUAAAACCAUGUUGUCAUUGGCAUCUCUGAGGUAUUAUAAAAUGAAUCA